rnacentral:misc_RNA from 1 species
AACGCACCUUGCGCUCCUUGGUAUUCCGAGGAGCAUGCCUGUUUGAGUGUCAUUAAAUUCUCAACCCCAUAACCUUGUUGUCAUGACUCGGCCGUUGGGGCUUGGACUUGGAGUUGUGCGGGCUUGCAAAAGUCGGCUCCUCUUGAAAUGCAUUAGCUGGAACUCUCUUCGUGGACCGGCCAUCGGUGUGAUAAUUAUCUACGCUGUUGGUGUUUCAAACGGUCUGCGCUUCGUAAUAGAGGUUCUGCUUCCAACCGUCCCUUACACGGACAAUGAUCCCUUUGCUGGGAUUGACCAUUUGACCUCAAAUCAGGUAGGACUACCCGCUGAACUUAA